UCUAGGUCAAGAAUAUGCAAAUCAUUCAACAGAGAUCUCUUUCCAUCUUGUCCGCCAAAAAUCACUAAGCUUGUCCCAACAAGUGUAACAGAUUGACCCCCCCGUGAGACCGGUGCUUUCCCAUACGUCUUCAAGGUCAACCAAAUACGUGUUUGUGGAUCAAAUGCCUUCACUUGAAUGCUUUCAGAAUGAUCUUUAGUAUGUCCAGCAAUUGAUAGAAGCUUAUUCUCCCAAGCUAUCAAGGAAUGACCAGCACAGGAAGUUACUGUAGCUAGAGAUUUUGAUUCAUCUGACUCAGCCCCAGCCUUAGCA
rnacentral:misc_RNA from 1 species